AGAGUUUGAUCAUGGCUCAGAAUGAACGCUGGCGGCGUGGUUAACACAUGCAAGUCGAGCGCCCGUAGCAAUACGGGAGCGGCGCACGGGUGAGUAACGCGUGGGAACCUGCCCAGAGGUCUGGGACAACCGCGGGAAACUGCGGCUGAUACCGGAUGAUUCCUGAGGGACAAAGAUUUAUCGCCUUUGGAGGGGCCCGCGUCGGAUUAGGUAGUUGGUGGGGUAACGGCUCACCAAGCCUAUGAUCCGUAACUGGUCUGAGAGGAUGACCAGUCGCACUGGGACUGAGACACGGCCCAGACUCCUACGGGAGGCAGCAGUGGGGAGUAUUGGACAAUGGGGGCAACCCUGAUCCAGCAAUGCCGCGUGGGUGAUGAAGGCCUUCGGGUUGUAAAGCCCUUUCGGCGGGGACGAUGAUGACGGUACCCGCAGAAGAAGCCCCGGCUAACUUCGUG
rnacentral:rRNA from 1 species